GUCCUACGGGUGGCAGCAGUGGGGAAUAUUGGACAAUGGGGGGAACCCUGAUCCAGCCAUGCCGCGUGUGUGAAGAAGGCCUUAUGGUUGUAAAGCACUUUAAGCGAGGAGGAGGCUACUGAGACUAAUACUCUUGGAUAGUGGACGUUACUCGCAGAAUAAGCACCGGCUAACUCUGUGCCAGCAGCCGCGGUAAUACAGAGGGUGCGAGCGUUAAUCGGAUUUACUGGGCGUAAAGCGUGCGUAGGCGGUUUUUUAAGUCGGAUGUGAAAUCCCCGAGCGUAACUUGGGAAUUGCAUUCGAUACUGGGAUGCUAGAGUAUGGGAGAGGAUGGUAGAAUUCCAGGUGUAGCGGUGAAAUGCGUAGAGAUCUGGAGGAAUACCGAUGGCGAAGGCAGCCAUCUGGCCUAAUACUGACGCUGAGGUACGAAAGCAUGGGGAGCAAACAGGAUUAGAUACCCCAGUAGUC
rnacentral:rRNA from 1 species